GCGCGAAAACUUUACAAUGCGGGAAACCGUGAUAAGGGGACACCGAGUGCCAGCAUCAUAUGCUGGCUGUCCGGGUGUGUAAAAUACACCCGUUAGCAAGGGCCGGGCAAGACCGGUGCCAGCCGCCGCGGUAACACCGGCGGCCCGAGUGGUGAUCGUGAUUAUUGGGUCUAAAGGGUCCGUAGCCGGUUUGGUCAGUCCUCCGGGAAAUCUGACGGCUCAACCGUUAGGCUUUCGGGGGAUACUGCCAGGCUUGGAACCGGGAGAGGUAAGAGGUACUACAGGGGUAGGAGUGAAAUCUUGUAAUCCCUGUGAGACCACCUGUGGCGAAGGCGUCUUACCAGAACGGGUUCGACGGUGAGGGACGAAAGCUGGGGGCACGAACCGGAUUAGAUACCCGGGUAGUCCCAGCCGUAAACGAUGCUCGCUAGGUGUCAGGCAUGGCGCGACCGUGUCUGGUGCCGCAGGGAAGCCGUGAAGCGAGCCACCUGGGAAGUACGGCCGCAAGGCUGAAACUUAAAGGAAUUGGCGGGGGAGCAC
rnacentral:rRNA from 1 species